CGUUUUAGUGGCGGACGGGUGAGUAACGCGUGGGCAACCUGCCUUACACAGGGGGAUAACACCUGGAAACAGGUGCUAAUACCGCAUAAGCGCACAGGGCCGCAUGGCCCGGUGUGAAAAACUCCGGUGGUGUAAGAUGGACCCGCGUCUGAUUAGCUUGUUGGCGGGGUAGGGGCCCACCAAGGCGACGAUCAGUAGCCGGCCUGAGAGGGUGGACGGCCACAUUGGGACUGAGACACGGCCCAAACUCCUACGGGAGGCAGCAG
rnacentral:rRNA from 1 species